rnacentral:rRNA from 1 species
AUUGAACGCUGGCGGCAGGCCUAACACAUGCAAGUCGAGCGGCAGCGGAAAGUAGCUUGCUACUUUGCCGGCGAGCGGCGGACGGGUGAGUAAUGUCUGGGAAACUGCCUGAUGGAGGGGGAUAACUACUGGAAACGGUAGCUAAUACCGCAUGACCUCGAAAGAGCAAAGUGGGGGAUCUUCGGACCUCACGCCAUCGGAUGUGCCCAGAUGGGAUUAGCUAGUAGGUGAGGUAAUGGCUCACCUAGGCGACGAUCCCUAGCUGGUCUGAGAGGAUGACCAGCCACACUGGAACUGAGACACGGUCCAGACUCCUACGGGAGGCAGCAGUGGGGAAUAUUGCCCAAGGGGCGCAAGCCUGAUGCAGCCAUGCCGCGCGCCUGAACAAGGCCUUAGGGUUGUUAAGUACUUUCAUCCGAGGAGUAAGCCU